AUCGUAUGACAUUUUGUCGACGAUGAUUCAUUCAAAUUUCUGCCCUAUCAACUUUCGAUGGUAAGGUAGUGGCUUACCAUGGUUGCAACGGGUAACGGAGAAUUAGGGUUCGAUUCCGGAGAGGGAGCCUGAGAAACGGCUACCACAUCUAAGGAAGGCAGCAGGCGCGCAAAUUACCCAAUCCUGAUACAGGGAGGUAGUGACAAAAAAUAACAAUACAGGGCUUUUUAAGUGUUGUAAUUGGAAUGAGUACAAUGUAAAAACCUUAACGAGGAACAAUUGGAGGGCAAGUCUGGUGCCAGCAGCCGCGGUAAUUCCAGCUCCAAUAGCGUAUAUUAAAGUUGUUGCAGUUAAAAAGCUCGUAGUUGGAUUUUGGGAUAAGCUUGUUGGGCCGCCG
rnacentral:rRNA from 1 species